AUCAAUGGUCAGUCCAGCGAAGUGGUCACUCGCUCCUGGCAAGCUCGCCAAAGUGUUGGUCAAUUUCUUCAACAAAUGUUCAGGUCUAUAUAAUUAUAAAACAUACUUUAUUAAUGGAAAGGAAACACAGACUCUUUGUUUGAGUAUUAAAAUACUCCUUUAGUAAUACAAUUGUAGGCAGAAGCUGGUACAGAGUACAGUAUAUGAUAGCUUUCCCCAGAUUCUGCAAAAUGUCUAAGACAUCCUGUAACUCAUAUAGCCUCUCCCAGUCCACCUUGUGUGAAUUUCCCUGGCAACAACAUUUGAAUAAAUCUAACCUCCCCCUGACAGCAGCAACCAUCUAAUCAGCAAUUAAAAGCUCAGAAGUGGGUUUGACCGAAACUUGACCUCAUCACAUUUAUAGGGUCAUAACAAGGUGAACAAGUCCAAGCAUCUUCUGACAGGUGGCUGUUUUCAUCAGGCCUGCAGUAGCCUUGUGUCCUCAGAAAACCAGAUAACCACAGUGGGGCCCAGACAGGAGGAGUAUGAAUGUACUGUACUUUUCCUUCUUCUGAUAGUGUCUGAAGGGCACAACACUCAAAAACAGAUUUUAAUACACCUCCUAGAAGAGGAGACCUAACAGUUGAUCAUAACAUCAAUUAUUAACCCUUUAAAAGGUAUGAGGCCUUGGCUUAACCCUCUUAAUGGUACAGGUCAGUUUGUGUGAUUCUCCAGGUUUAUUAACUAAUGGUUAAGACUCCGUCAGUGUCUGACCAUGAACACCUGUUGAAGGAAAUCACCGAUGUUGUCAAAGUGGCAGCAGCAGACAUGGAAGGAACAUGGUUUGUGUUGAAGCUGAACUGGUGGGAGAUGCUCUUGUCUUGUUACACAUUGUUUAAAAGUGCGCCUGUUCAUUACACUCUGCUCAAAUGCACCUGACUUCGCCUCCCGUACACACCUUUGACACUUAUGGUAUAUCUGUGUCAGUGUUGUGUGAAAAAACAGCACAUUUUAGCCUUUUACUGUCCCCAACACAAUGUGCAUCUGUGUAAUGACCAUGCUGUUUAAUCAGCUUCUUGAUAUGCCACACCUGGAUUAUCUUGGCAAAGUAAAAAUGCUCACUAACAGGAAUGUAAACAAAUUUCUGCGUACAAUUUGAGAGAAAUAAGCUUUUUGUGCAUAUGGAACAUUUCGGGGAUCUUUUAUUUCAGCUCAUGAAACAUGGGACCAACACUUUACAUGUUGCGUUAAAAUUUUGUUCAGUAUACAGGAUAUAUCCACACAAAAGCUAUAUAGUAAAAAAAAAAUUCAUACACAUCUCUGCCGUUUUAGUGUCUCCCUGUCAGGUCUCCCUAAAUACCCCUCUCCCCCCAUCUCUCUACGUCAAUGCAAACCCUCCCCCGGAUCCUUUCAGUACUUAAACAGGGUCUGCCUUUAGAGGAACUCUGAGUCCUGGAGAGUAAAGAAGAGCAACCACCACCAGUUCAGCUUCAACACAAACCAUGUUCCCUGCAUCUUUACUGCUGCUUCUGGCAGCUGCCUCCUGUGUUCACUGUGAAGAACUCACUCAGCCAGCCUCUAUGACUGUCCAGCCAGGUCAACCACUGACCAUCUCUUGUAAGGUUUCAUAUUCUGUAGGUAGCUAUUACACAGCUUGGAUCCGACAGCCUGCAGGGAAAACACUGGAGUGGAUUGGAAUGAAAUAUACUGGAGGAACGCACCACAAAGACUCCCUGAAAAAUAAGUUCAGCCUCACAGUAGACUCCUCCAGCAAUACUGUGACUUUAACAGGACAGAGUCUGCAGACUGAGGACACAGCUGUGUAUUAUUGUGCUCGCCUCCACAGUGAUACAAACCACCACCAGACCUAUACUAAAACUCAAUCAACCUUUAUACAGUAGGAGUUUUAUGUAUCUCCCAGGAGGGGGCGAUAUUAACUUUAAUAAAAUAAAGCCAAAUCACCUCAUGGAGUCAUGAAUUUAGUUUAUAUAGUUUCUAGUUUAUACUAGUUUGAUAUUUAAAUGAUGAGCGUAGACAAAUAUAUGUACAAUAUAGUCUAAAGCUCCAAGCUGUUAUUGCUACAUAAUAUAACAUGUAAAAACAAGUUCCAAACUCUGAAAGAGUACAUGUUAGUCAUUUAGCAGAUGCUCUAAUCCAGAGCUAUUUACAGGAGCAAUUAUGGUUAAGUGCCUUGCUCAAGGGCAUACCGACAGAUUUUUCACCCAGUAGGCUCAAGGAUUCAAUGCAGCAAACUUUCAGUUACUGGCCCAAUGCUCUUAACUGCUAGGCUACCUGCUGCUCACUGAGACAGUCAACAUCAAGCUCAUUGUCUCAAAGGUAUGAAAAAUGGUUUUCCAUAAAAAAUACACAUCCUUAAUUGUUGACCCUCUUAAUCAAAACAUAAGUGCUUCACU